rnacentral:rRNA from 1 species
UUUAAAGAGAGUUUGAUCCUGGCUCAGGACGAACGCUGGCGGCGUGCCUAAUACAUGCAAGUCGAACGAACGGAGGAAGAGCUUGCUCUUCCAAAGUUAGUGGCGGACGGGUGAGUAACACGUGGGCAACCUGCCUGUAAGUUGGGGAUAACUCCGGGAAACCGGGGCUAAUACCGAAUGAUAAAGUGUGGCGCAUGCCACGCUU